ACGACGCUGGCGGCGUGCCUAAUACAUGCAAGUAGAACGCUGAAGGGAGAGCUUGCUCUUCUGGAUGAGUUGCGAACGGGUGAGUAACGCGUAGGUAACCCUGCCUGGGUAGUGGGGGGAUAACUAUUUGGAAACGAUAGCUAAUACCGCAUAAUAGUAGAUGUUGCAUGACAUUUGCUUAAAAAGGUGCAAUUGCAUCACUACCAGAUGGACCUGCGUUGUAUUAGCUAGUUGGUGGGUAACGGCUCACCAAGGCGACGAUACAUAGCCGACCUGAGAGGGUGAUCGGCCACAUUGGGACUGAGACACGGCCCAAACUCCUACGGGAGGCAGCAGUAGGGAAAUCUUCCACAAUGGACGCAAGUCUGAUGGAGCAACGCCGCGUGAGUGAAGAAGGGUUUCGGCUCGUAAAGCUCUGUUGUUGGUGAAGAAGGACAGGGGUAGUAACUGACCUUUGUUUGACGGUAAUCAAUUAGAAAGUCACGGCUAACUACGUGCCCAGCAGCCGCGGGUAAU
rnacentral:rRNA from 1 species